AUGCUUUCAUGUUUUCUUGAAUUAUCAUCGAAACCACCAGUUAUGUUUCUUACACGAAAAACUCACAUUGACAAAAGCCAUACUUUUCCCAUUAGUCCUAACAACAAAAUUCACAUCGGGUUGGAGGUGGCGGCGGCGGCGGGGGAUGGGGAACUGGCGGCCGGGGCGGCGGCGGGGGAGGAGGAUUUGGAGGAGCUCGAGUGGCUGUCGAACAAGGACGCGUUCCCGUCGGUGGAGACCAUGGCGGUGGAGGCGGUGGAGGAGGUGCCGGAGCCGGCGCCGGCGGCCCCGUCGGGGCGGCCGGCGGUGGGGCCGAGGACGAAGGGGCGUCGGCGCCGGGUGACGGCGCCGUGGAACCUGGCGGAGCCGCCCACGCUGCCGCCGCCGCUCCCGGCGGCGCGGCGGUGCACGCACUGCGCGUCGGAGGUGACCCCGCAGUGGCGGCAGGGGCCGCUGGGCCCCCGCACGCUGUGCAACGCGUGCGGCGUGCGGUACAAGACGGGGCGGCUGCUCCCGGAGUACCGGCCGGCCAACAGCCCCACCUUCUCCCCGCUGCUGCACUCCAACUCCCACCGCCGCGUCAUGCAGAUUCGGCUCCGGAGCGAGAGCGAGGGCGAGGGCGAGGGCGCCUCCCCCGCCGUCCGCGCCAUCGCCAAGGCCCGCCGCGCCGAGCGCGCGGCGGCGCGCCUCGCUGCCAAGAAAGACGACGGCGCCCCGGCCCCUGCCCCUGCCCAGGCGGCGCUGCCGUAG
rnacentral:rRNA from 1 species